ACGACGACCCACUGCUGGAGGCGAACUGCGGCGUCGAUGGAGACGGGGAGGCGCGAUGUGUGGGUGAUUGGUUGCUGCUAACGAGGGAGAUGGGAAGGGGGAGAAAAAAAGGUGAAGGAGAUGGGAGAGGAAGAGGACACACCGAAUCACCAUAGAUCUGCUCCAACAAAGGUGUAAACCACAUUCACUCGGCAAUAAUAAGGUACAGUACAGAAACUUCAUACUUUCCACCACUGCAAUGUUCUGGUUUACUGUAUGAUGUGCAAUUGAAAAGUAAUUUUCAGUUCAGAUUGCUAUAUAUUUUCUUGGAGAAUGAGAUGAUCACGGUCAAAGGGUAUCAAUGUGCUUCUAAUUUUCCUUAUUUUUGUUCAUGAUUGUAUUUCAAUAAGAAACCAAAUUAUUUAUUUAUGUUGAUUGAUUGUAAAUGCACGCUCCUAAUUUGCAUAUGCUACUCCUUCCCUUGGCGGAGGGAUGUUUGCAUCCGAUCUGAGGGUGCAAUGGUGGUCAAUUGUUUCCUAUUGUUACUACCCUUUGAUUUUUUUAAUCUCUGCAUGAAAUAUAUUGAAUAAUAUUUAAAUCAAUGUCUUGCCUAUAAUAAUCUGAUGAACCAACCUUUAGAGAGAAAAAUUUGGCAAGCAAUUACUGCGAUGAUUGACAUCAAUGAGCUGACUUGGGGCUUUUCCUAUUUGUAUGUGCAACGAUUGGAGGCUUUGAAAGAUUUGAAUGGAGCACAAUUAGGCUCAUGAGGAUGUCUUUCAUGUUUGGGUUGGGAAUGGGGAUUUCAGUUUGAUUUUGGUACAAGAUUGGAAGUCUGGUUUAAUGGCAACAUUAGAUGUUUCAGGUAUACCAAUUGCUUCAGAUGUUCUCAUUGUCCCUACCGUUCUCGAUUCAGGCUCCCUGGUCAUCAAGGAUUCCGCAAUAGCUUCAACUCUGCUGUUGACCCCAAUUGUUGAUCAAACGCCAAUGGAGGCGCUCCCAACACCCAAUAGAGGGGCUGCCAUUGUCUACUGCGUCUAUGGAUGGGCCUGCAACUCCGGCACCUGGUGGUGCAGCCACUGAAAAGAGGGGCAGGUCAUCGUCGCGGACGGCCUUGGAUAAUGAUCUAUAAAAAGAACAAGAACUAUAUUGUGAGAUAGAACAUAGGAUGGUGCUCAUGGGGUUGCCACCGUGGACAUCUGAGGUGUGCCUGGCCGUGUAUAGAUCAACAUCUUCUAGCUCAGUGUAUCUAGGUAAUUUAUUCUACUACUACUAUCAUGGAUUUAUCUACUUGGUAGUGAUAUACGCAAAACUGCAUGGUUGCAAGCCUCCAUAUGUCGAUUCCUUGAUGACAUGACCACGAGGAGAGAAAUAGUUUAGAUUUACUUUCUAUUCGCACGUUCAACUUUUUUCUGGAUAAGUUGUAUAAUCAAAAUCUUCUGUGCUACGAGAUGAAUUUAUCCCCAGGUAUGCAGGCCAUACUCGAAAAAAAAACUGAGCGAAAAUCUACAUUUCUGAUAGUCUCCGCUCUAUGCAGUGCUACUAAAAAAGCCAAGAGAAAAUCGAGAAAAGAGGAAGUAUGCAUUUAUAUUCUCUUAUAAAACCCCUUUAUAUUUUAAUUUAAUUCUACUUACUUGAUUGCAACCUGUAAAAGGGGUUUUUAGAUGAAAGUGACAAUGUUCCAUGCUCAAAGAUUUGGACCGACCAUUAUGGGUACAGUCAGCUGUUGUGUUUUUUUCUCAAGGUAUUUCACUUUGGCAAGUAGUAGUAGUAUGCUAAACUUAGAACAAGCAUGUUGCUUUCUACAUAUGCAUCUUAGUUCAGAAAAGGCAUUACCUAAGCUGUAGUGAAUGGGGCAUGAUCAUGGCUUCAUGGGUGUAACUUUGAGGCUCUUGUGAUGCCAUCUGUGCACAAAUCCCCUCUCAGUAUGAACUGGGAUGUGAAGGCUAUGACAUGAAUUUCUCCCUCGCAAUGUUUUUCAUGCAAAAAUUUCUGUGUUUACGCAUGGUGCUAAAUUAUCCAAAUGCAUUUUGUGUAUUAGGCUUAAGAAAAUUCAUAAAUUGAAGAAGAAAAUAUUCAAGGUCUCUUACAUAACCAGAAUGUUGCAACUGAGAUUUUAUUUCAAAAAAUCUCCUGAAUACAAGAGAAAUAUGAACUGUAAUGAAACCUUUACUUCUAUUGCCUACAUGUUUGAUGUAACUAAUAUUUAAGAAAAGGCCAGAAUGUCCGGUUUACAUAAUGAGCCUGUAAUUUCAGGUUUGUGAGCUGUAUUAAUACUUCUGUCUUCAUGAGAUUCUUUUUUUUCUGUAUGUUGCGUUUAGUAAAUUUUGCAAUGCUCUUUCUGUUUUGGCUUCAAUACACCAGGAUAUGACACUCAAUGUUCUUUAUCAGUGACUUGUAAAAAGAUGCCCCGCAUAGAAUAUCCAUGUGGCUACCUCUCCAUGAAGUGGCGCAUGGAGAUCAGAUGGCUUUGGAGCUGGCUGAAAUCGAAAAGGUCUAUUUUGCAGCUGUCCAUGUGGCUACCUCUGUGUAUCUGGUAUACAAGGUUCUCUUUUAGUUCCCAAAACUGUGGAGGAUGCAAUAGAGUUAAAAUUUGUGUAUCUGAUUGGAUUUUCGUAAGAUUAGUCAUCCAUCGUAGAUAUUUUAUUUUAACACCAAUAGCUGACCUAUUUUCCUUAAAUUAAUUUUAUGCAUAUGCAUAUGUUCCGUUUU